AUAAAUUGAUAAAAUCAAGUUAGAAGAGGUAAAUAAUUAGUAUAGUUGGUACUAAGGUUAAGUUGAGAGUAGGAUUGGGCUUAAAAAUCCUUAGGAUAGGUUAGAUUGAUAUCCGGAGGUCAACCGUUUGUGAGACAGGGUUAAAAUCAGAUCUUUGGCCACUAAAAUGACGACGUAGAGCAAAAUAGGGAUUCAUUUGAAGAUUGGAGGGUAGGAUUUCAGAGCUAGCUUGAAGUUCUUUUCAAAGGCAUAAGGAUUUUUUUUGGAAGAUUUUUGACGACUUAGAAUUUUUUUUUCAAAGUCAAGGUUUAUAUUGGUGAUUUGGAUUUUAUAUAAUAUAAUUAAGACUAGCAAUUUUGGCCAGUUCGUGCAAUUGGUAUAACAUCUAUAGUUAAAAAUUUGAUAUUAUUUGAAUUAUUAGGUGUGCUAAGUGUAUACAAAAUACUUGUGAUAAUCUAAUAGUGUGGUUUAGAGAUAUCUGAUUU
rnacentral:lncRNA from 1 species